rnacentral:rRNA from 1 species
AAAUGACGGUACCUGACUAAGAAGCACCGGCUAAAUACGUGCCAGCAGCCGCGGUAAUACGUAUGGUGCAAGCGUUAUCCGGAUUUACUGGGUGUAAAGGGAGCGUAGGUGGCAAGGCAAGCCAGAAGUGAAAACCCGGGGCUCAACCGCGGGAUUGCUUUUGGAACUGUCAUGCUAGAGUGCAGGAGGGGUGAGCGGAAUUCCUAGUGUAGCGGUGAAAUGCGUAGAUAUUAGGAGGAACACCGGAGGCGAAGGCGGCUCACUGGACUGUAACUGACACUGAGGCUCGAAAGCGUGGGGAGCAAACAGGAUUAGAUACCCUGGUAGUCCACGCGGUAAACGAUGAAUGCUAGGUGUUGGGGGGCAAAGCCCUUCGGUGCCGUCGCAAACGCAGUAAGCAUUCCACCUGGGGAGUACGUUCGCAGAAUGAAACUCAAA